rnacentral:rRNA from 1 species
GGCUACUACAUCCAAGGAAGGCAGCAGGCGCGCAAAUUACCCAAUCCCGACACGGGGAGGUAGUGACAAUAAAUACUGAUACAGGGCUCUUUUGGGUCUUGUAAUUGGAAUGAGUACAAUUUAAAUCCCUUAACGAGGAACAAUUGGAGGGCAAGUCUGGUGCCAGCAGCCGCGGUAAUUCCAGCUCCAAUAGCGUAUAUUAAAGUUGUUGUGGUUAAAAAGCUCGUAGUUGAACCUUGGGCCUGGCUGGCCGGUCCGCCUCACCGCGUGCACUGGUCCGGCCGGGCCUUUCCCUCUGUGGAACCCCAUGCCCUUCACUGGGUCUGGCGGGGAAACAGGACUUUUACUUUGAAAAAAUUAGAGUGCUCCAGGCAGGCCUAUGCUCGAAUACAUUAGCAUGGAAUAAUAGAAUAGGACGUGUGGUUCUAUUUUGUUGGUUUCUAGGACCGCCGUAAUGAUUAAUAGGGACAGUCGGGGGCAUCAGU